AGAAUCAACGCUGGCGGCGUGCCUAACACAUGCAAGUCGAACGAGAAAGGGGCUUCGGCCCUGAUUGAGUGGCGAACGGGUGAGUAUCACGUGGGUGAUCUACCUUUGAGUGGGGGAUAACGUUCCGAAAGGAACGCUAAUACCGCAUGACGUUCUGGGUUUGAAGACCUGGAAACCAAAGCCGGGGACCGUAAGGCCUGGCGCUUGGAGAGGAGCCCGCGCCUGAUUAGCUAGUUGGUGAGGUAACGGCUCACCAAGCCUACGAUCCUUAGCUGAUCUGAGAGGAUGAUCAGCCACACUGGGACUGAGACACGGCCCAGACUCCUACGGGAGGCAGCAGUGGGGAAUCUUGGACAAUGGGCGCAAGCCUGAUCCAGCCAUGCCGCGUGAGUGAAGAAGGCCUUCGGGUUGUAAAGCUCUUUUACCAGGGACGAUAAUGACGGUACCUGGAGAAUAAGCCCGGCAAACUUCGUGCCAGCAGCCGC
rnacentral:rRNA from 1 species